rnacentral:rRNA from 1 species
UGAGGAACAUGACUUUCGGCGGGGGAUAGCCGGCCCAACGGCCGGGUAAUACCGCGUACGACCACAUGGGGACAUCCCUGAGUGGUGAAAGCAGCAAUGCGCCGAUGGAGUGCCUCGCGGCCUAUCAGCUAGUUGGUGAGGUAACGGCUCACCAAGGCGACGACGGGUAGCCGGUCUGAGAGGAUGGCCAGCCACAGUUGGGACUGAGACACCGGCCCAGACCUCCGUAGGGACGG